rnacentral:misc_RNA from 1 species
AAGUCGUAACAAGGUUUCCGUAGGUGAACCUGCGGAAGGAUCAUUAAAGAACGCCCGCUUUGAAUUUUGGUAAUGGAUUCCUAAUCCCAACGUGUAUACAUACCUUUGUUGCUUUGGCAGGCCGCCUUCUAAGCGUUGGCUUCGGCUGACUGUGCCUGCCAGAGGACCCAAACUCGUUUUGUUUUAGUGAUGUCUGAGUACUAUAUAAUAGUUAAAAA